rnacentral:misc_RNA from 1 species
GAUGAAGAACGUAGUGAAAUGCGAUAAGUAGUGUGAAUUGCAGAAUUCCGUGAAUCAUCGAAUCUUUGAACGCACAUUGCGCCCGCCAGUAUUCUGGCGGGCAUGCCUGUCUGAGCGUCAUUUCAACCCUCAUGCCCCUAGGGCGUGGUGUUGGGGAUCGGCCAAAGCCCGCGAGGGACGGCCGGCCCCUAAAUCUAGUGGCGGACCCGUCGUGGCCUCCUCUGCGAAGUAGUGAUAUUCCGCAUCGGAGAGCGAUGAGCCCCUGCCGUUAAACCCCCAACUUUCCAAGGUUGACCUCAGAUCAGGUAGGAAUACCCGCUGAACUUAAGCAUAUCAAUAAGCGGAGGA